rnacentral:tRNA from 2 species
GCGCGGUUAGCUCAGUGGUAGAGCGUUUCAUUGACAUUGAAAAGGUCAGAAGUUCGAUCCUUCUACCGCGCACCU